rnacentral:rRNA from 1 species
AUUGAACGCUGGCGGCAUGCUUUACACAUGCAAGUCGAACGGUAACAGGCCGCAAGGUGCUGACGAGUGGCGAACGGGUGAGUAAUGCAUCGGAACGUGCCCAGUCGUGGGGGAUAACGCAGCGAAAGCUGUGCUAAUACCGCAUACGAUCUAUGGAUGAAAGCGGGGGACCGUAAGGCCUCGCGCGAUUGGACCGGCCGAUGUCAGAUUAGGUUGUUGGGGGGGUAAAGGCUCACCAAGCCAACAAUCUGUAGCUGGUCGGAGAGGAGGACCAGCCACAAUGGGACUGAGACAAGGCCCAGACUCCUGCGGGAGGCAGCAGUGCGGAAUUUUGGACAAGGGGCGCAAGCCUGGUCCAUCAAUGCCGCGUGCAGGAAGAAGGCUUUCGGGUUGUAAACUGCUUUUGUACGGAACGAAAAGGUUUGGGUUAAUACCCUGGGCCGAUGACGGUACCGUAAGAAUAAGCACCGGCUAACUACGUGCCAGCCGCCGCCGUAA